rnacentral:rRNA from 1 species
UACGUAGGGUGCAAGCGUUAAUCGGAAUUACUGGGCGUAAAGCGUGCGCAGGCGGUUAUGCAAGACAGAUGUGAAAUCCCCGGGCUUAACCUGGGAAUUGCAUUUGUGACUGUAUGGCUGGAGUGCGGCAGAGGGGGAUGGAAUUCCGCGUGUAGCAGUGAAAUGCGUAGAUAUGCGGAGGAACACCGAUGGCGAAGGCAAUCCCCUGGGCCUGCACUGACGCUCAUGCACGAAAGCGUGGGGAGCAAACAGG